AUUGAACGCUGGCGGCAGGCUUAACACAUGCAAGUCGAGCGAGAGGCGGACGGGUGAGUAAUGUCUGGGAAACUGCCUGAUGGAGGGGGAUAACUACUGGAAACGGUAGCUAAUACCGCAUACCAUCGGAUGUGCCCAGAUGGGAUUAGCUAGUAGGUGGGGUAAAGGCUCACCUAGGCGACGAUCCCUAGCUGGUCUGAGAGGAUGACCAGCCACACUGGAACUGAGACACGGUCCAGACUCCUACGGGAGGCAGCAGUGGGGAAUAUUGCAAAAUGGGGGCAAGCCUGAUGCAGCCAUGCCGCGGGUAUGAAGAAGGCCUUCGGGUUGGAAAGUACUGUCAGCGGGGAGGCGGUACCCGCAGAAGAAGCCCCGGCUAACUCCGGGCUAGCAGCCGCGGUAAUAG
rnacentral:rRNA from 1 species